UACGAAGGGGGCUAGCGUUGUUCGGAUUUACUGGGCGUAAAGCGCGUGUAGGCGGGUCGUUAAGUUGGGGGUGAAAUCCCGAGGCUCAACCUCGGAACUGCCUUCAAAACUGGCGGCCUGGAGCAAAGAAGAGGCGAGUGGAAUUCCGAGUGUAGAGGUGAAAUUCGUAGAUAUUCGGAGGAACACCAGUGGCGAAGGUGACUCGCUGGUCUUUUGCUGACGCUGAGACGCGAAAGCGUGGGGAGCAAACAGG
rnacentral:rRNA from 1 species